rnacentral:antisense_RNA from 1 species
CUUGUAAGAGCCCAGCACAGCACAGAUUUACAAAAUGAUACACAAAGACCUCAGAGUUUCCAGCCUGAUGUUCUGCCUUGUGGAUUUCAGAUUUGCCAAGCCCCACAAUUACAUAAUGAAAUUCCUUAAAGAAGCGAACUUUUGCUAUUGCACAGACCUGCUGCCUCCAGAGCGCCACGCCACUGAUUGUUUUCCUUGUUUCGUGGAAGGAAGACAAAACUUGUUCCAGCUCAACAAGGCUUCCUAUAUCUUUUGCCCCAUCAGUUUAAACACCUCAUUCAAAGUUGUUAUGGAAACACCAUAAUCCUCAAUGCCUUGGCUGGAAUGCAGUGGCUCAAUUUUGGUUCACUGCAACCUGCACCUCCCAGAUUCAAGUGAUUCUCCUGCUUCAGCCUCCCGAGUAGCUGGGAUUACAGUGGUACAUCCUGUAGUUGAGGGCUUCUUACACCUGAUGAAAUACCAUAGGUUCUGCAUGUCAGGAGAUUGCAUAUUCGGUGCCUUGAAAGAGGAUCCAAUCCAGCAGUCGGUUCAUCCAAUAGCAAAACCUGGACAGGAGGAAAGUCCUAAAGUA